UACAGAGGUCCCGAGCGUUGUUCGGAUUUAUUGGGCGUAAAGGGUGCGUAGGCGGCGGAGUAAGUUGGGUGUGAAAUCCCGGGGCUUAACCUCGGAAUUGCAUUCAAUACUGCUUCGCUCGAGUACUGGAGAGGAGGCUGGAAUUUACGGUGUAGCAGUGAAAUGCGUAGAUAUCGUAAGGAAGGCCGGUGGCGAAAGCGAGCCUCUGGACAGUUACUGACGCUGAUGCACGAAGGCCAGGGGAGCAAACGGG
rnacentral:rRNA from 2 species